GAUGAACGCUGGCGGCGUGCCUAAUACAUGCAAGUCGAGCGAACAGAUGAGGAGCUUGCUCCUCUGACGUUAGCGGCGGACGGGUGAGUAACACGUGGAUAACCUACCUAUAAGACUGGGAUAACUUCGGGAAACCGGAGCUAAUACCGGAUCAUAUAUUGAACCGCAUGGUUCAAUAGUGAAAGACGGUUUUGCUGUCACUUAUAGAUGGAUCCGCGCCGCAUUAGCUAGUUGGUAAGGUAACGGCUUACCAAGGCAACGAUGCGUAGCCGACCUGAGAGGGUGAUCGGCCACACUGGAACUGAGACACGGUCCAGACUCCUACGGGAGGCAGCAGUAGGGAAUCUUCCGCAAUGGGCGAAAGCCUGACGGAGCAACGCCGCGUGAGUGAUGAAGGUCUUCGGAUCGUAAAACUCUGUUGUUAGGAAAGAACAGAUGUGUGAGUAACUAUGGACGUCUUGACGGUACCUAAUCAGAAAGCCACGGCUAACUACGUG
rnacentral:rRNA from 1 species